GCCCGACGAGGUGUUGCAGGACCCGACCUGGGAACGUUCCGGACGUACCGAACGCGGCCGUGACCGGUGCCGGGUUCCGAUGCCGUGGUCGGGUAC
rnacentral:tRNA from 4 species